rnacentral:lncRNA from 1 species
AAGUAGUGAAUCAUGAAAUUCUUUGGUUUAGGAGUUUGUCAAACAUAUGUUGUAGUAUUGUAUGUAUUGUUAGGGUUAGAUUUUGGAAAACUGAAAUGUUUUUUUCAAAAAUUAGUUUUCACCUAUAUGUGUUUAUUUAUGUGUAUAGUAAACACUUUUCAAGUUUGAUUUGAUUUUAUGAAGUCUUUAAUUAGAUAAUUAAGUUUAGGGGUUAUGUUUAGGGUGUGGACGACAUAUAUUUCAGUCUUCUGUUGAAUAAUUUACUCAGACGACGUAUAUUUCAGUCAUCCACAUCGUACCGAACCUUUAAUUUUACCAAUGUACGUUUUAACCUAACCGGAUCAUUUUACUCGGACGACUUACAUUUCAGUCGUCUAGUGAAGAAAUUAAAACAGACGACUUACAUGUAAGUCGUCCAAAUAUUCCCGCCUAAAAUUUUUUAAAAAAAUUAUUUUUCCGCUUAAAUAAUUUAAACCAGACGACUU